rnacentral:rRNA from 1 species
GUUUAAAUGGUGCGUAGGCGGAUUCUUAAGUCAGCGGGAAAAUACGGGGGCUCAACCUGCGUCCGCCGUUGAAACUGGCGUUCUUGAGUGGGCGAGAAGUACGCGGAAUGCGUGGUGUAGCGGUGAAAUGCAUAGAUAUCACGCAGAACUCCGAUUGCGAAGGCAGCAUACCGGCGCCCUACUGACGCUGAGGCACGAAAGCGUGGGUAUCGAACAG